rnacentral:misc_RNA from 1 species
GGAAGUAAAAGUCGUAACAAAGUCUCCGUUGGUGAACCAGCGGAGGGAUCAUUACAGGACUCGCAAGACUCCUACAACCCUGUGAACUUAACUAUAAGCACGUUGCUUCGGCGGGUGUCUCGGAGGGGGUUCUCCCUCCCCGAGACGCUAAACCCGCCGGCAGCCUACUAUACUCUGUCUCUUUGCGUUGGCAUCUCGAGUACAAUCAAACAAGUUAAAACUUUCAACAACGGAUCUCUUGGUUCUG